rnacentral:tRNA from 2 species
CGUCGUAUGGUGUAGUGGUGGCACAUUCAGUUAGAAACUGACGGUGCCGGUUCGAGUCCGGCUACGGCGA